rnacentral:misc_RNA from 1 species
GUGAAGACUUAUGGUCCACCACUAAAAAGGCUUUGCUUCCGCAAUCACCCACCAUCGCUUCCCUCUCUCUCACGCACAAACAGAGAGAGAGAGCGAGAGACAGAGAGGAACAGAGUCUCCGUUGAAAUCAAAAUUUUCUCUUACACGAUCCCGGAAAAUUCUCUCUUCAUUUUUCUUUAUCAUCCAAUUCCCGCCAUUUACUUUCCUUCUCAUUUUCAUUUCAAACAAACAAAACUAUUUGGAGAAAAAAAGAAGUCAACAACUCUCUGUUUCAGAUCUCCUUUUCUUUGCUUCAAUUCAUUCAAGU